rnacentral:lncRNA from 1 species
ACUAAAUUAAAAACAUAUAAAACUUAUCCGAAGAUAAAUUAAAGUUAAAAAAAAUUUGAUAAAUAGACUCAUACCACCAAUAACUAUUUAAAUUUAAAAUAUAAAUAUAAAUUUUAUUUGAUUUAAUGUGACGUGCAUUGCACGUGCACUAUGACUAGUAUACCCAAAAAGAGAGGUUCGUGCCAGAAUUUCGUAAAUCUAAAAUAAUUUUAGUACUUGAAAAAAAAAGAAAAUUGACAAGGCAAGGGCUCAAUAUGAACGCUUGGAUAAGGGGUAUAAGAUUUACAUUUAUUUGGGUGCUGUUAGUAUUACUCUAAAAAAAAUAACUAAAAUAUAGAGACACAACUAUAGGCCACUUUGAAAAAGACCUUUCAGGUUGUAUUUAUUUAUUCUUUAAUUUAUACCCUUUUUGUUAAGGAUUUUUUAAGUUAGCGGAUUUCGUGAAGUCGAAUGGAGUCUUGAAGAGAUGAAGAUGAAGGUUGAAGAGAUGAUUUAAGCAAUUCAAGAUCAAAAGACCCAUUCAUGAUGCUCGGAAUCUCAGGUAUGAAUAUUAAUAUGUUGUAGUAAGAUUCCUGGUUCAUAAAUAUGUUUGGAAGACUUAGGAUGAUUUGAAAAUAUAAAUCUGGACAAAACUGAGUUUUUCAAG